rnacentral:misc_RNA from 1 species
UCUCCGUAGGUGAACCUGCGGAGGGAUCAUUACUGAGUGAGGGCCUCCCCGGCCCGACCUCCAACCCUUUGUGAACACAACUUGUUGCUUCGGGGGCGACCCUGCCGUUUCGACGGCGAGCGCCCCCGGAGGCCUUCAAACACUGCAUCUUUGCGUCGGAGUUUAAGUAAAUUAACCAAAACUUUCAACACCGGUUCUCUUGUUUCUGGCAUCGAUGAAAAACGCAGC